CACACACACACACAGACCAUAAUGGGGAACACAGAGCUGGCUCAUAAACAGCUGCCUCAUUCUUGUUCACAGCACAUAGUAUUCCACGGCAUUUUUUAGAUUAAUUUCCUAUGAUGGACAUCUAGGUGGGUUCUGACCUUCAGUACUUCAAACUAUGCAGCUGAAACGAUGUGCUGCUAACAUAGCACAAGCAUUUAUCCUUGUAUUUCUCAGUAGGAUAAGUCCCUAGAUGCGUGAUUGUUAGGUCAAAAGGUAUGCUCAUUUAAAAUUCUGAUCAUAUUUCCAAGUUGUUCUCCAAACUGGCAGACCCAGCCAGUUCUCUCUCCCUGACAACAGUGGAUAAACACUGCUGUUUCCCCAUCUGCUCCAACACCAUGCAGUAUCAGACUUUUUGAUCUUGGUCAAUAGGAAUCGGUAUUUCUGUGUUCAGUCGGCAUUUAUCUAAUAUGGUAGUGAAGCCUAGUUUCCUUUGGAACUUUUCCAGGGAUCACACCGGCCAAGGCCUGAUUGGAGACGCCUGGGACCCUGCCGAGCUAGCCGGCCCCUCAACCCUGGCCGCGGCCACGACUCCGAGCGCUGCUCCUUCUUUUUCUGCGCUUUCCUUUCUCCCCCACAAGCUUCUGAUUCUUGGAACCAGGCUUGGUGACCUCACGCGAGUGACUUCAUAUCCGGGACUUUCUGGGAAUUCUCAGCAGCACUUUUUCGCCGCCAUCUCCAACCAACUGGACUGAGUCUUCUGUCAUUCGGGUCACCUCCGCUGAGACGCCUUCCCUGACCACCCAAGUUGAAGGAACUGCCAACAUUUCCCUCUUGGACUUUGUAUUUUAUUUCCUUCACAGUAUUUCUCCCCUCUAAAAUUAUCUUGUCUGCUUCUACCUAUAUUGUCUUCCCUCUUGAAACCGAAGUUCCAUAAGCUGAGGCAGAAAUUCUGCCUUGUUCAUCUCUGUUGUCAGCACCCUGAACAGAGCCUGGCAUGAAUGAGGUGCUCAAUAAAAGUUACUUGGAUGAAUCGGCAGAUUUCCUCAAUCAUUUCAUUCAUUUAUGCAUUCAUUUAUUUGACAUUUAUGGAGUGCCUUCUAGGCACUUGUGGUAAAGAGG